rnacentral:rRNA from 1 species
UCCUGGCUCAGGACGAACGCUGGCGGCGUGCUUAACACAUGCAAGUCGAACGAUGAAGCCUAGCUUCGCUAGGUGGAUUAUCGGCGAACGGGUGAGUAAUACGUGAGUCGACCUACCUUUUGACUCUGGGAUAAGCCUGGGAAACUGGGUCUAAUACCGGAUACGACCAAUCUCCGCAUGGGGUGUUUGGUGGAAAGCGUUAUGGAGUGGUUUUAGAUGGGCUCACGGCCUAUCAGCUUGUUGGUGAGGUAAUGGCUUACCAAGGCGACGACGGGUAGCCGGCCUGAGAGGGUGACCGGCCACGCUGGGACUGAGACACGGCCCAGACUCCUACGGGAGGCAGCAGUGGGGAAUAUUGCACAAUGGGCGCAAGCCUGAUGCAGCGACGCCGCGUGAGGGAUGACGGCCUUCGGGUUUGUAAACCUCUGUUAGCAUCGAAGAAGCGAAAGUGACGGUAGGUGCAGAGAAAGCGCCGGCUAACUACGUGCCAGCAGCCGCGGUAAUACGUAGGGCGCGAGCGUUGUCCGGAAUUAUUGGGCGUAAAGAGCUUGUAGGCGGUUGGUCGCGUCUGCUGUGAAAGGUUGGGGCUUAACCCUGGUUUUGCAGUGGGUACGGGCUAACUAGAGUGCAGUAGGGGAGACUGGAAUUCCUGGUGUAGCGGUGGAAUGCGCAGAUAUCAGGAGGAACACCGAUGGCGAAGGCAGGUCUCUGGGCUGUAACUGACGCUGAGAAGCGAAAGCAUGGGGAGCGAACAGGAUUAGAUACCCUGGUAGUCCAUGCCGUAAACGUUGGGCACUAGGUGUGGGGGACAUUCCACGUUUUCCGCGCCGUAGCUAACGCGUUAAGUGCCCCGCCUGGGGAGUACGGCCGCAAGGCUAAAACUCAAAGAAAUUGACGGGGGCCCGCACAAGCGGCGGAGCAUGCGGAUUAAUUCGAUGCAACGCGAAGAACCUUACCAAGGCUUGACAUAUACUGGACUGCGUCAGAGAUGGCGUUUCCCUUCGGGGCUGGUAUACAGGUGGUGCAUGGUUGUCGUCAGCUCGUGUCGUGAGAUGUUGGGUUAAGUCCCGCAACGAGCGCAACCCUCGUUCUAUGUUGCCAGCACGUGAUGGUGGGGACUCAUAGGAGACUGCCGGGGUCAACUCGGAGGAAGGUGGGGAUGACGUCAAAUCAUCAUGCCCCUUAUGUCUUGGGCUUCACGCAUGCUACAAUGGCCGGUACAGAGGGUUGCGAUACUGUGAGGUGGAGCUAAUCCCUAAAAGCCGGUCUCAGUUCGGAUUGGGGUCUGCAACUCGACCCCAUGAAGUCGGAGUCGCUAGUAAUCGCAGAUCAGCAACGCUGCGGUGAAUACGUUACCGGGCCUUGCACACACCGCCCGUC